CAACAAUAAAAAAAAAAAAGAAUUCAAGAAGAAUUUUCUUGUAACCAGUUAGGUCUGAAGGCAAUGUAAUAGAAACUUCCUUUUUCCACAAGAAACAUCCCUGCAGUGGGUUGUUCCUAUUGACAGGAUGUUACACAU